rnacentral:rRNA from 1 species
GUAGGGUGCGAGCGUUAAUCGGAAUUACUGGGCGUAAAGUGUGCGCAGGCGGCCAUGCAAGUCGAGUGUGAAAGCCCCGGGCUUAACUUGGGAAUUGCGCUCGAAACUACGUGGCUGGAGUGUGGCAGAGGAAGGUGGAAUUCCACGUGUAGCGGUGAAAUGCGUAGAGAUGUGGAGGAACACCAAUGGCGAAGGCAGCCUUCUGGGCCAACACUGACGCUCAUGCACGAAAGCGUGGGGAGCAAACAGGAUUAGAUACCCUGGUAGUCCACGCCCUAAACGAUGACGACUAGUUGUUGGAGGAGUUAAAUCCUUUAGUAACGCAGCUAACGCGCGAAGUCGUCCGCCUGGGGAGUACGGUCGCAAGAUUA